rnacentral:rRNA from 1 species
CAUGGAACUAGGCAAAUUGACCCCGUAAGUUCGCGAGAAGGGGUGCCUGCGAGAGCAGGCCGCAGAGAAUAGGCCCAAGCAACUGUUUAGCAAAAACACAGGUCUCUGCUAAAGCGCAAGC